rnacentral:tRNA from 9 species
GUCCCCGUAGACCAACCGGCAGAGUCGAUGGACUCAAAAUCCAUUCAGUGUGGGUUCGAAUCCCACCGGGGACACCA